GCAAGUCGAGCGGAAACGAUCCUAGCUUGCUAGGAGGCGUCGAGCGGCGGACGGGUGAGUAACGCGUAGGAAUCUACCCAGUAGCGGGGGAUAGCCCGGGGAAACCCGGAUUAAUACCGCAUACGCCCCACGGGGGAAAGCAGGGGAUCUUCGGACCUUGCACUAUUGGAUGAGCCUGCGUUGGAUUAGCUAGUUGGUGGGGUAAAGGCCUACCAAGGCGACGAUCAGUAGCUGGUCUGAGAGGAUGGAC
rnacentral:rRNA from 1 species